GGGGCCGUCGGUCAGCGGCGGGAGCCGCCGGGCCGUCCGCACCGCCGCCAACUUUGGGGAGAGCGAGCCCAGCGCGGAGCCGAACCCGGGAGCGCCCCGCCAGAAGAAGGAGAAACUCGAGCGAUUCCGCGGCGCUGGAAGUUGCUCGCGGGUCCGGGUCGGUAACCAGACACGCGUGUCGCCCGAGGGCUGGCGGGGAGGAACUGAGCCAGACGGGGACACAAAGGAGGGGGGCAGCCCCAGACACGCCGUCCCCGCCCCGCGGCGGCAGCGCCCGGCACCGCCGAGACCCGGGCGGGGACGGCGAGCAGGGAGAGGAUGCCCCCGGUCCCCCCUUUUGUCUGGCUCCGGUGGCACCUGCGGGGGCGAGCGCUCGGCCGCCCCGCCCGCGGACCGUAUCGCGACCGGCGACGGAUUAGCGACAGUUGUGGUCGGGGAGGGCUGAGACAGCCCCGGUCUCGGCGGUUUGGUACUGUGGCCGUGCAGGGCUUGGUUCUAUAAGCCUCAUGUUAAUUAACAAAAUCAUUAAAAAUACAAGAACUGCAAUAAAAUGAGCCCCGACGUGCAGUAUUCCACCAAUUCUUGCUCUAUCACACGCGGAAUUUUUAACGUAACUUGCUCUGAAAGAAAUUUAACAUAUUUGCUCCCAGGCUGUCGACAGUGAUUAGCUGUGCCGAUUGCAGUCAACUCAAUACAAUAUCUAAAAGAAAUUUAAUGUAUUUGCUCCCCCAAACCAUCUGCACUGAUUUACUGUGACGAUUGUAAUGGGCUGUAUAUACGAUAUCUAAAAGAAAUUUAACUUAUUUUCCACCAAAAUCCUCUGCAGUGGUGCUUGGGCUUCUGUGCAUGAUAAAAGAUGUUCAGCGUACAGAAAAAAAAUCUGGUAUUUUCUAAGAAAAUAAUUUUCAUAAACUUUUCCUAUCGUUUCCUCAGCCAAAACAACCCAUUAUGAAAGCUCUAAGUCGAAUUCUUCCACAAGUUUAGCAAGUUGAGAAGGGGACGAUUUGCCCUCCUUGUUUUGCCCAGGAAUGCGAGAUAGCGUGUUUUAAAAGUUAAUAAGUAUUAAAAGCCACGAGGAGCAUCAAAAGUGUAUUUCCAAGCAGCGUGCCGGCCGCGGCGCGAGCAGAGCAGCCGCGCAGCGCCUGCAGCUCCACGCAGAGCAGAGGUUAUUCACAUGGCUGUUCCAGAAACUCCAUUCAUAUCUCUGACUACCUGGAUUUGAAUAGAAACCAGACAGCAAUUCUUUGGUCCCAGCCACUAUUCGCCCCGCUGGACAAUAGAGAUUUGUUAGCACACAGGCACAAGCCCUGGGACACAAAGCUGGAGGCAGCAGAGAUAGGGGCUUCACUGCACAGGAAAUUACAGCUUUUGAUGCACUGUUGGCAGGUCUGUCGGUUCAGAACAGCAACAUGCCUGUGCCAUGUUUAAGAGCUCCUGACUGCCAUUUUUAACCACCUAGAAUGUCAUAAAAGCUUUAUUGUCGCAGUACAUAAAAUCAUGAAGUCCAUAUGGUUACUUUUCAGCUGCCCUAGUCUGGAAGGCAGAAGCAUGAUUUGGCUGGAGAUUUUAAUUUGGGGGGGGGCAUGGGGGAAGAAUUAGAAUUUGAGAACAAAAAAACCUCAAAGUGUUUAAAAAAGCUGAGAUUUGUUACCGAGGCAGCUGAUGUCCAGCCUGAGAUGGGGUGGUGUUCUAACGGACUUGGUUUAGUGGUGGCUGUAAGGGGACGUGGCCGGGCAGCUUAUUUCAUCUUAAAAGGUCCAGUAAAUUUACUCCAUGCAGCUCUAGUACCAGCUGUGGAGAAGAACAUUGUUCAGUUGUGUCAACUUGGCAAACACGAAAAUAAAUAAGAAAAACCAAA